rnacentral:rRNA from 1 species
GCGCGCGACGAUAGCAAGUGGAAUACACCACUUCCAAUUGAUCACUGAAGUUAAGCAACGUUGCGCGUGGUUAGUAUCCGAAUGGACCAUCUGGGUAAGCGUCUGCUGUCGGAU